UCGUAACAAGGUUUCCGUAGGUGAACCUGCGGAAGGAUCAUUAUUGAAUAUUCUUGAUGGGUUGUAGCUGGCUCUUCGGGGCAUGUGCACGCUUGUCUUGACUUAAUUCAUCCACCUGUGCACAUUUUGUAGUCUUGGGGGCUGAGAGCAGUCGACUAUCGGGAUGGCUAUGGCUUUUCCGGAUGUGAGGAAUGCUGAGUGCGAAAGCAUACAGCUCUUCUCAAAUGACUUGCAAAACCUCUCCCUCGAGUACUAUGUAUUCAUAUACCACAUAGUAUGUUGUAGAAUGUGAUCAAUGGGCCUAUGUGCCUAUAAUAAUUAUAUACAACUUUCAGCAACGGAUCUCUUGGCUCUCGCAUCGAUGAAGAACGCAGCGAAAUGCGAUAAGUAAUGUGAAUUGCAGAAUUCAGUGAAUCAUCGAAUCUUUGAACGCACCUUGCGCUCCUUGGUAUUCCGAGGAGCAUGCCUGUUUGAGUGUCAUUAAAUUCUCAACCCCUCCAGCUUUUGCGAGUUGUGAUGGGGCUUGGAUGUGGGAGUUUGCGGGUCCUUUAUCAAUAAAGGUCAGCUCUCCUGAAAUGCAUUAGCGGAACCGUUUGCAGUCCCGUCACUAGUGUGAUAAUUAUCUACACUGUGAUGGAUUGCUCUCUGACUAGUUCAGCUGCUAAUCGUCCACUAUGGACAACGCUUUAAUGAACUUCUUGACCUCAAAUCAGGUAGGACUACCCGCUGAACUUAAGCAUAUCAAUA
rnacentral:rRNA from 1 species